UGGAAAGAAAUCCAAUCGGGCCAGUUAGAA
rnacentral:piRNA from 1 species